GCAUUGUUCCGCUGAAGCCAAAGGAACUACACUGAUUGGCACCAGCUGAGGCUCUGGCCCGGGAUUUUAACAAGCUUCCCAAAAAGCCUCUGGAUGAGCAGGAGCCUGUAAUUUGUGUCCCAAGAGAGAAUUUUUACAGAAUCAGAGCAAAACCAUUCACCCAGAAUCGGACUGUGGGCAGAACGUCGUGUGAACCCCAUCAACGCCCCCUCCCCCAAGCUACAGCUGUUUCACCGAAGUCCUCGUGGAAAAGCCCUGCGUGUUGCAAUCUGCCUGUGCUGCCCAGCGACCACGCUUGCCUAAGGUUGUUUCUGCUCGGCUUGCAGUUUAAAGUAAAGCAGAAGCCGGAUCCCAAGAUUUAAGUAAAUGAAGAUGAAGGGCUGGAUCCACAGCUGACUUGGAGUUAAACUAGGGGUUUUUUUUAGUGCAUAGCUUGGAAUUACACCAGUUUACAUCAGCUGGGGAUCUGGCCCAUAACAGUUAAAAAAAUUGUAAAUAAACCAAGUAGGACAGGGAGCAGAUUAUUAAAUGAAAAGAAAUGAAUGGUGAAGGCCAUGAAUGUCUUAGCUUUGUUUGGAAGAAUGGUAGUAAUAAAUGUACUUGUGGCUUAUGCAGUUAAGUGGCAGAGUGCAGGUGCAUCUUCUUUGGGAGCUGAAAAUGUGACUAAGAAUUUGGUCCAUAUCAUCCCUUCCAUUAAAAUAACUUUGAAUUUUUUCCCUUCCAUUACUUCACAUUAAGAUGUUUGCAAACCUCAAUCCUCAGAUUACACCAGAAUACUCUGUGUGUGUCCCACAGUGUUGCAAUGGAGGUGCUGCAUGUGAUAAUCAGCAUAAUGGUUUAUUGGGCCUCUGAGGACAGAGUACUAGUGACUGAGCAAAUCUGCUUCAAUCAGGAGAUCAGAGGCAAGGAAAGGAAGAAGUUGCUCACGAGCCCUUCGCCCUGCAUCCCCGACAACAGCUGACAAGCCCUUUAAGGAUCGCAACCCACAGACUGAGAACUGCUGCUUGAUAACAUUCUGAACGGAGGGAAAAGGGUAGCCCAAUAUUGCCACAUAAAUGGAUCCUUUCUUAGCCCUUUUAAUGAAAUUUUAUAUGAAUAAACCCAGGCUUUUUUGUUCAUCACACCUCACUUCUCCUGCUAUUGAGCCCCAUCACAAUCCUAGAUCUCACUGGGCACCUCUUCAUGCAGGAAAAGAUGGAACAAUCACAGCCUCCCCUAUGGCUGCUGCCACUGCUCACUCCUGAACAGCAGCAUACAUGGGCUCAACGGGGCCCAAAACCAACUCUCGAUUCAUUGCCACCCCAAGAAACCACCAUUGCCAUCUCCCGCCGCGUACACCUUUCUGUGCUGCAUGACAUACCAGAUGCGGUAGAUGUCCAUCUGUAGCACUAGAUUCCGGACCUCCUUCCCAACGGUUUAAUGCAGAGUGAUGAUUGGUCACAGCCAUUUUAUUUUGCUGCUCGUGGCACAGCCCCACAGUGACAAUGCAGUGAGGAUCAAAAUCACUUUCCCAGCCCAGCUUUUUGUUUUGACUAGUUAUUAUUUUUAUAAACCCCAGACAGUGUGUCUUUUCACAGGCCGUUGUAAAGCUGCAUUUAAUAAACUUUA